rnacentral:rRNA from 1 species
GACGAACGCUGGCGGCGUGCUUAACACAUGCAAGUCGAGCGGUAAGGCCCUUUCGGGGGUACACGAGCGGCGAACGGGUGAGUAACACGUGGGUGACCUGCCCUCAGCUCUGGGGUAAGCCCGGGAAACUGGGUCUAAUACUGGAUAUGACUCCAUGACGCAUGUUGUGGGGUGGAAAGCCUUGUGCGGCUGAGGAUGGGCCCGCGGCCUAUCAGCUUGUUGGUGGGGUGAUGGCCUACCAAGGCGACGACGGGUAGCCGGCCUGAGAGGGCGACCGGCCACACUGGGACUGAGACACGGCCCAGACUCCUACGGGAGGGCAGCAGUGGGGAAUCUUGCGCAAUGGGCGAAAGCCUGACGCAGCGACGCCGCGUGAGGGAUGACGGCC